GUUAAUUUGCUAGCUGCAGGUUUUUUCUUUCAUUCAAGUACCAUCACUGCAAGUGGUCGACCAGAGCACUAUAUGUAACUGUAGCGGUGUAAUAAGCUAUCAGUGGAGCGUAUAACCUCGGAGAGACGUUAUAUUACCGUGGAAAGAGUAUAACAGAUAACAGCUAGCUGUUAAGACUUAGAUACUAGUGCACAUGUGGUUUUUGCUAAGAAGUUAGCGAACAGCCAACUGGAGGAGCAGAGACUGUGUUUGUCACGGAGAAAAGAGCUGUGGACUUCGCGGAUGACUGUCUCCAUUUUGUUUGAGGCUUCUACGCACUCCAGCUACAUUCAGGCCUGCAACGGGGAACUUGGUACUAGUAUUUUGUUUGUUUAUGGGGUAAUGUGGAUUUUUUCUUGGUUGAUCUGUGACGUUUAAAACUUAUUAAGGGAUUCUGAGAACUGUUUAGAAUUUAAAACUGUAGUUGAAUGUUUGAUGACUGAACGUUCUUGUUAAAUAUUGUGUCUCUAUUAGUAAAAAAGGUUAAAGAUUUAAGCAUUGGUUUGAUUACGAGUGAGUGGUUGGUAUUUCUGUUUAUAAAUAGAAAAGAACUCAGGGUAGCUCCUUAAGUAAAAGGUAGUACACCAAAGGGGUGUUACACAUAUAUACAUAUAUACUCACAUACAGAUCUCUUUUACAUAAAACACAUCCAUCCUAUACAAAACAAAAUCCCUCAUAAAAUUAAAUGAAAUUCUCUGUUAACACAUUUUCAACAGAAAGGACAGUCCAUAUGUAUAUUGUUAGGUGAAGAUGAACAGACUUGCAGUUAAAUACUCAUAAUCAAGAUCACUAAUAAUUAUAGAAUGUACAGUAAAAUAGAAUAAUGUAAGUAACACUAAAAAUAUUAAGUAUAAUGCUCUCAGGAUUAUGGAACUAAAACACAGGAGUAUCAGUGCUAAUAUGUUAAUGUGUAAAUGUAAGUCAGAGACAUAGACAUUGGCACUACCUCCACUACCAGGUUUUAAGUUUAAGGGGGCAAUUAGUUUUUCACAUGGUUGAUAGGUGGAGGAUAACUUUUUUGCAUCAGUAAAAAUAAAUAGAUAAAAACUGUAUUGUGUGUUGCCUUUGUUUUAUGUCGUAUUUUGUUUGAAGAUCUAAAACUAUAUAGUAUGACAUAUACACAAAAACAGAAGAAAUCAAGAUGGGGCAAAUACUUUUUCACAUCACUGGGUUUAACAGGUGUAAUUGGUGUAUAAAAAAUGUUAUGGGUGUAUAUAAUAUAGAGGUGUAUACAACAAAUGUAUAAAACAUGUAUAAGAUAAGAUAAGAUAAGAUAAGAUAAGAUGUACUUUUAUUGGUCCCCCAUAAGGGAAAUUCAGAUUGACACAGCAGCACAAGUAGGAUGAGUAACAUCAAAGAAAGAAAGAAAAUAAUUUCCAUAAAUACCUACACAAUAAAAAUAAUAGAAACAAUAAAAGAGAUCUGUGUGUAUGUACAUAUGCUAGAAGGUGUACCACAGGUCACACCCUUACUUUCUCACAAUGUAACAGAAUUAACACGGACUCUGACUCUGAAAGCUAUGCUAACAGAAGUCAUGCUAACAAAUAGAGAGAUAAGUGUACACAACUGCACAGAUUUCAGUUUUUCACCAUAUAAGGAAUACAUAAUAUUAGAAAAAUACUUCAAGAUUCCUUUUUUACUUCUCUGACACAAAACAGGGUUUUCAGAAGAACCUGUAGCAUUUUUAAACAGACUUGAAGAGAAGAGGUUCUUCUACAGAGAUUUAAGGACAUCACAGUUACUUACAUUCAGAGGAAACAGGUGUGUUACAGUGCCAUCUCUCCACUAUGUUAAUAACAGAUCUGUGUGUGUGUGUCUGUGUGUGUCUGUGUAUGUGUGUGUGUUAUACUUGUGAUUUAUGGCCUUCUGUAUGUAGGGCUUUUUUUCUUUCAUUUUGACUUACAAUUCAUCAGAAAAGUAAUAAAGCAGGAAGAAUGACACACAAUUUCAAAUCAUUCUCUUUUGAUUAACUAUGAGCAUGAAAAACAUCAGCACCUUAAUUAGCCAUGAUGUCUGCAACAUCUGCAAAACAACACACACACACACACACACACACACACACACACACACACACACAUUGUAAUACACACAAAAACAAACUGCUGUGAAAAUGAUCCUUAAUUACACUCAGCAUUAGCAGCGUCACAUUUGAACACUGCUGCGGCGUAAAACAAAGACAUUAAUGUUGAGAAAAAUAAACAUUUUAUUAAAAACAACAUGAACUGAAAUAAGUAAGUAAUAACACACUUUAGGUUGUGGUGUUAUAGGAAAAUAAUCAACACAGUGGUUGUGUGAUGAAGUGUUAUGUGAAGAGUUACUUUUACAAACUGCUGACACUGGAGACUCCUUCCAGAAUUUUAAAAUAAAUUUCUCCUUACAAAUAAUUUAACCACAUCAUUUAUUGUUUACACACAAUUCUAUUUUAAUCUGUUUAUGCGGCAUGUCUGCUGUACACGUCCCUGUGAACAAGCCGUUACUAUAGCAACCAUAACGCAUCAGAACGACUGCAUUAAUAAAACCCUGCGCUAUUGUCAGAGUCGCUGUUAUAGAAAACUCAUCAACGCCUUCAGAUCCAAGAGUUCUACUGCUUUGUGGUAUACACACAGACACAAUCUGAUGUAAAACAAUCUGCAGUCUUAGUAAAGAAACAAGAUGUUCCAGAUGACACUAAUGUUUGGCUGAUCGGAAAUAAUCAGCACCUGCACCACAUUAUCACAUUAUCAGUCAGGGAGGAAAAUAAGAUUUUACUAAAAGUAAAAGUUUUUAUAAUGUGUUCUGCUCAUAACAGAGUGACUCAGCUAGUCAGGAUGUGUGAUGAACCAGAGACACACAUUUUACCCAAACAAACAGCAGGACAAGCGGACACAUGUGAUGAAUGAGUCAAGGCUAGCUUCAACAGCACACAGCAAUAUUAGCCGAAUUAGCAUAAAGUAAUCACACCUAAGUAGUUAGAUUCAGAGUCAGAGUCAUACAUUCCCCUUCCAGCAUGUUCAUCACAUGAGAGGAAACCAGUGUGUGACUUUAAUGUGAGCUGAAAACCU
ensembl:lncRNA